rnacentral:rRNA from 1 species
AGUGAACGCUGGCGGUAGGCCUAACACAUGCAAGUCGAACGGCAGCACAGUAAGAGCUUGCUCGUACGGGUGGCGAGUGGCGGACGGGGGAGGAAUACAUCGGAAUCUACUUUUUCGUGGGGGAUAACGUAGGGAAACUUACGCUAAUACCGCAUACGACCUACGGGUGAAAGCAGGGGAUCUUCGGACCUUGCGCGAUUGAAUGAGCCGAUGUCGGAUUAGCUAGUUGGCGGGGUAAAGGCCCACCAAGGCGACGAUGCGUAGCUGGUCUGAGAGGAUGAUCAGCCACACUGGAACUGAGACACGGUCCAGACUCCUACGGGAGGCAGCAGUGGGGAAUAUUGGACAAUGGGCGCAAGCCUGAUCCAGCCAUACCGCGUGGGUGAAGAAGGCCUUCGGGUUGUAAAGCCCUUUUGUUGGGAAAGAAAAGCAGCAGGUUAAUACCCCGCUGUUCUGACGGUACCCAAAGAAUAAGCACCGGCUAACUUCGUG